UCCAUAGUUGUGCUGAGCACGGCAGACCGGAUAUCUGUAAGUGCGGGUACGAAUCCUGCCUGAGGUU
rnacentral:tRNA from 1 species